UACAGAGGGGGCAAGCGUUGUUCGGAAUUACUGGGCGUAAAGGGCGCGUAGGCGGCCUGUUAAGUCGAACGUGAAAUCCCCGGGCUCAACCCGGGAACUGCGUCCGAUACUGGCAGGCUUGAAUCCGGGAGAGGGAUGCGGAAUUCCAGGUGUAGCGGUGAAAUGCGUAGAUAUCAAGCGGAACACCGGUGGCGGAAAGGCGACCUUCUGGACAGAUACUGACGCUGAGACACGAAAGCGUGGGGGAGCAAACAGGA
rnacentral:rRNA from 1 species